ACGGAGCGGGACGAGACAGGACGGGAGUGGAGAGAUUGUUAGACGGAGACGGGGACGGAGUGCGAGCGAAAAGUCAAGCGGAAAACCGAUCGAGAGAAGCGCUGCUGCUGCUGCUGCGGAGCCGCCGGAGCUCGCGGCCGUUCCGUCCCGCUGAACGAAAGAAAGAAAGAAACAAAUAAAAACCCAAAGCAAUUCCUAUGGGAGACGUAACCAGAGGUCCUGACAAUGGUGUUCCAGCACCUCACCACCUUCACAGUGAAGAGGUUUUUUUCUGAAUAUCUAGUUUAAACCUACUCUUUUGGUUCAUUUUAAAGGCAGUGCUACUGCCUAAGCAGGUUUCCUUUCUUCAGCUGAGGGCUGAAAGGAACUGAAGGCUCCAUGAGCUCCCCAUACCAUUGUCCUCUUACCAUCCUUUAUGCAGCGAGCAGGCAGAGAAACAAGUGGUUGUAGUGAAAAAAUGUGGUUUUUCCAACAGCAAUGUGAGCUGUUCGUUAUGCACACGCAGAACUAAGUGUUCAUUGCAACUUGUAAAUAUCCUGCUCCACCAAGCGUCUGCAAUUGGAUCUGCAAUUCUGGGAAGGACACGAAGAGGUUUUGCUGUGAUCCCCUCUGCCUGUGACUGCAAACGGAUCGUGUCUUUCCCCAUCCCGGUUCAGGUGGCAGGGGAACAAACUACCUCAAGGUACGAAAGGAAAAUUACUUGAAACAUUUGGCUACAGUGCUGGAUGGUGUUCUGAGGAGAAAGAUGGAUGACAUAUUGACAUAACGGGAAUGAGGCAUCUACACACACCCCUCAAAAACACAGCUGGAGCACCAAUGGAACUUGGCAAUUUCAGGUUUUUCUUCUAAAUCUUUCCUCAGUUCCAUGAUGGGGCACAAAAUAUUUUUUUCGUGAUAUUCCAUAACGUUGUGAUUGCUUACUUUUUAUAUACAAAAAGGCAGAACAGCUGUGGCAAAAUAAGUCUCCUCAAAAAAGUGUUCUCUGAUUAAGAUUUUCUGAAAUAUUAAAAAUGUAAAAACUCUAUCAUAGUAUUUUCUUCUAAUAUUGAAGAUCUUCCCCAGCAGAGCACAGUUAUGUACAGAUAGUGCAAUAUGUACUCCAUCCUCACACUGGGAAGGUUUUACACAGAAACCCCAAAACAGCUUUCACACCAUAAAAGAUAGGAACUGUGUCUCUGAUAAGGUUUUCUUCAGCUAUGAUAAAAAAAAAAAAAUAAGAAAAUAUUUUCAUUACCUGUGCCCCAGCAUGGAGGAGCAAAAAGAGGAGCAAAAAUGCAUCUGCCUCACCCACCUUGCUGGGCAGCUGAGCAAAGCAGCUGCCACAAGGCAGAGCUGAUUCAAAGCACAGACUCUCAGGCUGAGGGUGGAUCUGUCAACUCUUGCACAAAGACACAAAAGGAGAAAUGAAGAGGUGUCCUUUCCUUGAAAUUCCCAGGAAGGCUAAGAGAAGCGCUAUAAACGGGCUUCUAACACUCAACCCACAAACACAGAUGCAAAAGGAACUGCUGCAAACUUGCACCUGUAUUUAAGAGGAUAAAUCAAUGUAAUUUUUUAUCAGACACCACCGUGAAUUGGAAAAAAACCCUAAACCACUAUUUAAUUUUAAGCAAAAUCUUUAUUUUAUUUUAUAGGCUUGUUUGUAUCAAAAGCAGUUAUUUCCAAAUCAAAUUCACAUAAAAUUCAGCAUGUAAAUAGGCUGAAGUUGUCAUUGAUUAAGAUCCAUUGCUGAAAGAUGAGGGCUCUGAAUGAUAUUUUAACAGCUUUGUGGGGGAACAAAUAAAACGGUGAGGUAUGUGAUCCCAUUUUGUGUCUUUCAGUUUUCAUGGGGUUAAUUAAGGUUAUCUUGAGUGUGGCUUUGCGCUCAUCCUAGACCAUAAUGGUAAACUUGUAAAUAUCACCAAAAUACAUAUAAUGAGAGGGUUUUUUUUUCUGUCUAAUGGGACCACACACAAGGCAAACCCGGAUAAAAUGUUGCUUGUAACUUAAAUGUACCACAUGAGCUCAUAAAGCUUAGUGUUGAACUGUUGAUGUUUUGCAGUAGGAAUAUUUUAAAUGAAGAGACAUUUCUCCUAAAAGGUGGCAUCUCUUUUUCCUUCAUGAGCUGGGUUUAAGGAAAUAAUUUUAUGACCUCAUUCUGGACCUUAAAACCUGUGUCUAGGUGAGUCCUAUAUAGGAAAUUCACAAAAUUCAGACAAAAGCGGUGUUUUUCCCAUGUGCAUGGAUGAUGAAGUAUGUUGAGGUUUUUUUGCUAUGUUGCAAUAUUUAGUUUUUUAUAGGAAUGGUAAGAAAUAUUAUUUCCUAUUAAUAACAAUAUGUGUAGCUUGAUUUCUUACUUUAGAGAUGUGAUUGGCUUUGGUGUCAAGGAUAAUGAGAGUUACUUUAAUGUCAAGCUUUUCUAAUAUGCAACAAAUACUCGGUGUCUCUACCACUGGUCAGAAGCUGUUAUUUUUGUAUGUUUUGAGAAGAACUGUAGGUUAUUUGUCCUUCCUCUUGUGGAUAAAAUUGUUGUGUUGCAAGUGUUGAUCCAAGAAGCAUCUCUAGUUCUGCAAAGGCUGGCAUUGAGGUUUAGGUGAGAAGGGACUGCUGGAGAUUUUUUGUCCUGUCAUCUGCUGGGAGUGAGGCUAGCUCCAAAGCUACAUCAGGUUGCUCAGGGCCUUGUCCAGUCAGUUUUGAGCACCCAGAGGGAUGCAGGACCUUUAAUCUUGCCCUUUCCCAUGCUGGUUACACUCUGGCCAGUACAGCCUAGCAUGUGACCGGCCUUCCUCAUCACAAGGGUGCAGUGUAGCACCAUUGUCAAGAGAACUGACAGUUCCCAGGAUGCAGAAGCUCCUGGGAAAUACAUCAGAGGCUCUGGCUCUGGCAGAUGCCAAGUGAUUUGGGCUGUAAACAGAUCCUUGGAAGGAGAAAAAGGGGAUGAAGAGAAAUUAGCAUGGGGUUCCUAGGCAUUUGUCAGUGUGUAUCUGAACAUCUGUGCUAAGUGCUCUGAAGAUUAGCUCUUCUUUUGCAUUUUGCUUGCAAAGAUGUACUAAAUGUUCAGAAGCAGCAAUUAAUUUGCAACCAUGCAGCCCAAUGUUAGGAGUCAUACUCUCAUAGCACUAAUAACAGGGAACCUGCAAGCUAAACCACACUCUCAUGCAUUUUUCACUUCCCAGUCUGCAUUGGGUUUGUGGUUUUAUAGUGCUGUUUGUGAGAAUAAGUACAGGAACAUGAACCUGGCUGUAUAACCCAGGGAAGAGCUGGCAGGCAGUUUUGCCAAGGUGAGCAGGGGCACAGCUGCUGCUCAUUUCUCAGGGUGUCACAGAUAAAGACCUGCCUUUAUCCUGCAGCAUUGCCAUUGCCUUCAGAAAGCUUUGGCUCUGUGACUUUGAAUGUUCUAUUGGGAAGAAGCUGAAGAUCACAAAAGACAUACAGCUCCUACUGCAUAUUGUCCAGGAAAUGGAGACCUUUCACAUGCUUGGGGUUUUGUGUAAAUGUCAUGAUGCUCUGUGACAUUCAUCAUCUUCAGGUUUGCUUUAUUCCAAAGAUUCUCUGCUUCCGUGGUCUGAUCCUAUGCAGCCUGGGGAAGUCUGAAUCCUUUACUUGUCCCGUGGAGGUUGUUGUGGCUUGUCUUGCAAGCUGUGGCAGUGCAAGGUAACAAGAAAUGAGUUUGUUGCAUGGGCCACACUCACAAAUAUUCUUUACAAGGCAUGGUAACAACAGAAAGGAGAAAGAGGGAAGGAUGACCUAGGCAAGCUUAAAGCAUGGCCAGGAAAAUAAAGCAAUAAUCUUUCUUGGCUGAGGUGUACAGAGGUCUUCCUUGCAGAUUUACUAGCAGGCUUUCACCAACCCCCCUUGGCAGGAAGGAUCUCAGACCAGAAAACAGCAGUCUGCAUUUUCCUUUCUGUUCCUGUAUUUUGGAAUAUCCAGCUCACCCCCUGAUCUGCUUUUAGGUGUUUCCUUUCAGCCCUCACUCUCUCAUUUAGCCUCAGAGUUGAGCCAAGCUAAUAGUGGGCUGCUUCAAUUGGGCACUUCAAACCAUCUGCUCCUUUAUUUCAUUUCUUGGCUGAAGAGAAGCCCCUUCUGUAGGACUGGUCUUCAGUAAGUGUUGAUCAAUCUCACCCAGUGCAGGAAUCUGAUGGCAGUAUGGUGAAGGUGAGACAGCCCCACAGAAUGGCAGGAGAAUCUUAUGUCAGUUUGCACUUAUCAUCCUUCCCUUGUCCCAUCCUUUCCUGAUCUUAUUUACUCUGUUGGGCCAUCCUAAGCAAAAUAUUUCCUUGUGAAGGUGGAGGUGAGGAAGGGAGUUCAUCAUCAUGAAUAGCUGGCACCAUCAGUAAGACUUCCACUUGUCAUGAACAGAACCAGGCUACUCUUCUUUUCUUUCCCCUCUUUCAAAGCCAAGUGUAAUCCUUCCUCAUAUACUAGGAAGAGUGGAUUGCAAAAAAUGGCCAAUUUUCCCAUUUUCUGAGUUUGAAAGCCAUUAAGAAUCAUGGAACAGGGAAAGGAUAGACCUUUUAAAGUUUCCAAAGGAAAAGCUCGCUUCAGAAUUGCCUUUUCAACCUGGGAAGUUUUUUCUGCCAUGGGAAGGGUUUUCAUUUGCAGACUGGUGGAAGGCUCAAGCAACCCAAAAAUGGUUUUUUUUUGAUCCAUCUUCCAUGGAUCAUAUUGCCUUUGAUCCAUGGAAGAAUACCAAGGUUGAAAAAGCUGGAUCCAUAUUCCUUGCUUAACUGAUGCAAAGAACUCCUUAGGUUAGAAAUGUUGGGGAGUUAGGUUAGGGUCCAUUUAUGCCAUUUAGGAAGUUAUGAAGUUGGGGAGUUUAAAUUCCAUUUGGAGGUUCAGGCUACUGAGUAGAGCCGUGAUGCUUGACAUGCUUAGAUGUUUUAUUAUUUGCAGCUGGCAUCUGAAGUGUCAGUGGUGCUGAGUUCUGCACGGACAGAACAGGUUGAACACCUAACCUUCAUAAUGUAAAUCCUGAUACACUUGAAAAGCAGUCUGGCAGUGAUCCAGUGAAACUCUGCUGAUUGGAACAAAUCAUCUGCCAUUUGUUAGCUCACCUCUCUUUCUUUGGGUGUCUUAAGGUACUGCUUUUCUCUCUUUCAUUUUAAGGAGAGGUGGAAGAUGCCUAAAAGUCUUUAAAUUCUUUGUAUUGUAAAAUAGUGUUAUGUGAUAAGAGUCCCAAAGUCCUUGUUUAGUCAAAGCCUCUUGGUAUUGAGAGGAGAUUCUUUGGUAAAGAAAGACUUUGCCAAAAGGUUUGUCAAGCAUUGGAGCAGGGUGCUCAGGGAAGUGGCUGGGUCACCAGCCCUGGGGUGUUUAAAAGAUGUGUGGAUGUGGCCCAUAAGAACAUGUUUUAGUGGUGGACUUGACAGUGUUAGAUUAAUGGUUGGGCUGGAUGGUCUUAAUGGUUUUUUUCCAACCAAAAUGAUUCCAUGAAACUGCAAAACCAAAUGUGAUAAUAUUAAACGUAAAUGUAUUUUCACCUUCAGCAAUAUUUUUAGAAGUACAUCUAGCCUGAAGCAGUUUCCUGCUCUUUUUGAGAGCUGGAUAUGUGUUUUCCCAUGUGUUUUGCAGCAUUACUUUAAAGCUUAUUUCUGGUGAGUUUGAGAUGCGGUUAUUGAGAUCUCCUGGAGUGGAAAAUAAACUAUUUUCUGUGUUA